rnacentral:rRNA from 1 species
AGAGUUUGAUCCUGGCUCAGAAUAAACGCUGGCGGCGUGCCUAACACAUGCAAGUCGAACGAGAAAGCCUGUUUUCGGACGGGCGAGUAAAGUGGCGCACGGGUGAGUAACGCGUAGGUAACCUGCCCCUAUGUUCGGGAUAACAGUGCGAAAGUGCUGCUAAUACCGGAUAUGGCCCUGGAGCGGUGGCUCCAUGGUCAAAGUCGGCCUCUCGCAGAAGCUGACGCACGGGGAUGGGCCUGCGUCCUAUCAGCUAGUUGGUAGGGUAACGGCCUACCAAGGCUUCGACGGGUAGCUGGUCUGAGAGGAUGAUCAGCCACACUGGCACUGAAACACGGGCCAGACUCCUACGGGAGGCAGCAGUGAGGAAUUUUGCGCAAUGGCCGCAAGGCUGACGCAGCAACGCCGCGUGGGUGAAGAAGGCCUUCGGGUCGUAAAGCCCUGUCAGGUGGGAAGAAUGAUUCGGGAGUGAAUAAUUCCCGGAUGUGACGGUACCACCAGAGGAAGCACCGGCUAACUCCGUGCCAGCAGCCGCGGUAAUACGGAGGGUGCAAGCGUUAUUCGGAAUUACUGGGCGUAAAGCGCGUGCAGGCGGGCGAGCAAGUCUGAUGUGAAAGCCCCGGGCUUAACCUGGGAAGUGCAUUGGAAACUGCUCGUCUUGAGUUGCGGAGAGGAAGGGGGAAUUCCCGGUGUAGAGGUGAAAUUCGUAGAGAUCGGGAGGAAUACCAGUGGCGAAGGCGCCCUUCUGGACGACAAC